CAGAGCCGGAUGAUGGGAAACCAUCACGUCCGGUUCGGCGGGAGGCCGCGCGGAAAGGACCUGCCCAGCAGACACCUCGCCGCGCGGCCGACCCAAC
rnacentral:ncRNA from 1 species